rnacentral:lncRNA from 1 species
UGCUGGAGCCUCUGCAGUUGUCGCCUAUGCAGACUCGCGAGUAAAUGCAACCCAUGGAGAGAAAAGGAACGAAAUUGGAGUAAACCCAGAUGCUAAAUUUGGCAUGAAGAGAUUGGAGCAGGUAGAGAGAGAGAAAGGGUAAGUAAAAGUUGUGUCCUAAUCUGAAAUCUCAAUUAUUAGGAUGAAGGAAUUUGGCUGAGGUUGGAGAGCCACAAAAUGUUUGCAAUAAAUGAGCAUGAAGCAUGAUGAAUCAGAUUAUGCUAACUGUGAGAAGUAGUAGUAAUUGUAAAUCGUGUGUGCUUUGUUGUUGUUGAUGAUGCAGUGUUCAAAAAUGGCUGCUACCAAAUGGAGUUUAGUGGUUGAUUGGAAGAGAAGGCCAAAAGAUAAAGGGUUAGUGUUAGUGUUAAACACUAGAAGUAGAGGAAUAAUUAACAGUGGAUGAGAAUGAGAAAUGG